rnacentral:rRNA from 1 species
UACGCUGGCGGCACGCCUAACACAUGCAAGUCGAACGAAGUAGCAAUACUUAGUGGCAGACGGGUGAGUAACAUGUAGGUAUCUGCCCUUUGGCCUGGAAUAACACGAGGAAACUUGUGCUAAUACCGGAUAAGUCUUUACGGAGAAAGCUUUAUGCACCAUUGGAUGAGCCUGCACUUGAUUAGUUUGUUGGUGGGGUAAUGGCCUACCAAGACUGUGAUCAAUAGCUGAUUUGAGAGGAUGAUCAGCCACAUUGGGACUGAGACACGGCCCAAACUCCUACGGGAGGCAGCAGUGGGGAAUCUUGCACAAUGGAGGAAACUCUGAUGCAGCGAUGCCGCGUGAGUGAAGAAGGCCUUUGGGUUGUAAAGCUCUUUCGUCGGGGAAGAAAAUGACUGUACCCGAAUAAGAAGGUCCGG